UAGGGGUUGCAAAAUUUGAAUUUUCCAAAGGAAGAAAGGCAAAAAUAGAUAGACAAUAUAAUAGACUAGAUUUUAAUUUAUAUUUCUUGUUUAAUCUAUCUAAUCUUGUCCAAUAUUGUGCUAGAAACAUUCUCUUAAUUCUUUAAUAGCAAAACCAUAAAAGAAGGCUCUUUUAUUCUCCAUUGAUCGGUCAAAACAGGGUGCAACAGUAUAAAUUUGAAGGAAGUAGAAAUGAACCUGCAGCUUCUCAAACAAUUCCGGGCUAUAUAUUUACACACACACACACAGAGGUAAGCUUUUACCAACAAGUUCUUGGAAAUGAGCCCACAUAUUGAAAACCACAAUAGAACAUCCGUGAAAUUUUCUGGUAAACGAAUUAAACCAAUAUAACACUGACAAUUUUAUUAAGAAAUGCACUCCACUGUUAUGAUAUGAAGUCAUCAAAAUAAUUAAUAAACGAAUAUAAUGGCCUAACCAAAAGCAAAAUAAUUUCAGAUCUGACCCCAAAAAAAAAAAAAAAAAUGUAACGAAGACCCAUACAAACAAGAAGUCAAAAUUGAAUAUUUAUCUACAAUAGAUAAAGCAAUCAAUAAUGGUCAUUUCCACAGAAGGGGUAAGAUUAAAGGGAGACGAAUUGAAAAAUCAACCAUAUUCUAAAAUCUUGAGAACGUUAAACUCACAUUAGCAAACUGUCAAUAUAGAAAACAAUAACAAACAAGAAAACUGUAAAGUUGGGUAAAAUAAUUAUAGAGAAACUUUACAUUAAAAUAUUCACAUAAAAGAGGGAUCAAAUCAAAGUAUAGAAUGCUUCUUGACAAGGGUGGCGAAGAGGGAAAAAAAAAGGGGGUUUACUACUAGAAAAGGUGGCGGAGAAAAAGUUGCAUUCUUGAUUCUACCAACAUUAGUACAAACGUAGUUGUGUAAUAAUUAUGAAAUGGGAAUCUGAAAUUACUGAACAAUCGAUAACGGCGAGAUGGUGAUUUGAAAAGGUAUGCUCUUAUGUAUUCUUGGCCUCUCGGGAGAAAUCGGUAGAGGGUUGUUGGGUGGUUUACCUGGAAAAAGGGCUCCAAGAACAAGUGUUUUUUUAUAUAACUUUUUUUUUUUUUUUUUU
rnacentral:lncRNA from 1 species